GCCAGGGUGACACAGUGGUUUGAGUGUUGGACUAUGACUCUGGAGACCAGGGUUUGAUCCUCUGCUCAGUCA